AAUAUAUGGGUGGUUCUGGGAUUAGGACCGUGAGAUAUGACGCAUGUAUAAUCCUCAGACAUCUCCAUUUCCCUAACGGGCAGGCAUCCAUUGAAGACCCGAGGAGAAUCCUUCAUAUGGAUACCGUAAUUGGGAGAGGCAAAUGCAGGUGUCAAAUGUGAAUUCCUGGUCUUGAUUCCAAAAUCAGUGGGAGAAGUAGUUGGAGAGACUAAGGAAGGUGGGAGUAUUGGUGGAAUCUGAACUCUGAGCUCGGUCCCAAACAAGACCUUUUUCUUAUUACUUGCCUCGCAGCAACUCUUAUCUUCAGUUUGGUUAUUGUUAAGGAAUGUAUCAACUAUAGCAAGAGCAAUACCUU
rnacentral:lncRNA from 1 species